UACGAAGGGGGCGAGCGUUGUUCGGAAUCACUGGGCGUAAAGGGCGCGUAGGCGGCCCUCCUAGUCGCGUGUGAAAGCCCCGGGCUCAACCUGGGAACGGCGCGCGAAACGGGGGGGCUGGAGGACUGGAGAGGAGACUGGAAUUUACGGUGUAGCGGUGAAAUGCGUAGAUAUCGUAAGGAAGACCAGUGGCGAAGGCGGGUCUCUGGACAGUUCCUGACGCUGAGGCACGAAGGCCAGGGGAGCAAACGGG
rnacentral:rRNA from 1 species